CCUACGGGAGGCUGCAGUCGAGAAUCAUUCACAAUGGGGGAAACCCUGAUGGUGCGACGCCGCGUGGGGGAAUGAAGGUCUUCGGAUUGUAAACCUCUGUCAUGUGGGAGCAAAUUAAAAAGAUAGUACCCCAAGAGGAAGAGACGGCUAACUCUGUGCCAGCAGCCGCGGUAAUACAGAGGUCUCAAGCGUUGUUCGGCAUCACUGGGCGUAAAGCGUGCGUAGGCUGUUUCGUAAGUCGUGUGUGAAAGGCGCGGGCUCAACCCGCGGACGGCACAUGAUACUGCGAGACUAGAGUAAUGGAGAGGGAAGCGGAAUUCUCGGUGUAGCAGUGAAAUGCGUAGAUAUCGAGAGGAACACUCGUGGCGAAGGCGGGUUCCUGGACAUUAACUGACGCUGAGGCACGAAGGCGAGGGGAGCGAAAGGGAUUAGAUACCCUUGUAGUC
rnacentral:rRNA from 1 species